rnacentral:rRNA from 1 species
CACGGCCCAGACUCCUACGGGAGGCAGCAGUGGGGAAUAUUGCACAAUGGGCGCAAGCCUGAUGCAGCGACGCCGCGUGAGGGAUGACGGCCUUCGGGUUGUAAACCUCUGUUAGCAUCGAAGAAGCGAAAGUGACGGUAGGUGCAGAGAAAGCGCCGGCUAACUACGUGCCAGCAGCCGCGGUAAUACGUAGGGCGCGAGCGUUGUCCGGAAUUAUUGGGCGUAAAGAGCUUGUAGGCGGUUGGUCGCGUCUGCUGUGAAAGGCUGGGGCUUAACCCUGGUUUUGCAGUGGGUACGGGCUAACUAGAGUGCAGUAGGGGAGACUGGAAUUCCUGGUGUAGCGGUGGAAUGCGCAGAUAUCAGGAGGAACACCGAUGGCGAAGGCAGGUCUCUGGGCUGUAACUGACGCUGAGAAGCGAAAGCAUGGGGAGCGAACAGGAUUAGAUACCCUGGUAGUCCAUGCCGUAAACGUUGGGCACUAGGUGUGGGGGACAUUCCACGUUUUCCGCGCCGUAGCUAACGCAUUAAGUGCCCCGCCUGGGGAGUACGGCCGCAAGGCUAAAACUCAAAGAAAUUGACGGGGGCCCGCACAAGCGGCGGAGCAUGCGGAUUAAUUCGAUGCAACGCGAAGAACCUUACCAAGGCUUGACAUAUACUGGACUGCGUCAGAGAUGGCGUUUCCCUUCGGGGCUGGUAUACAGGUGGUGCAUGGUUGUCGUCAGCUCGUGUCGUGAGAUGUUGGGUUAAGUCCCGCAACGAGCGCAACCCUC